rnacentral:rRNA from 1 species
GAUGAACGCUAGCGGCAGGCUUAAUACAUGCAAGUCGAGGGGUAACAGGGGAGCUUGCUCCUGCUGACGACCGGCAAACGGGUGAGGAACACGUACACAACCUUCCUUCUAGUGGAGGAUAGCCCAGGGAAACUUGGAUUAAUACUCCGUAAGAUGUUAGGGAGGCAUCUCCCAGACAUUAUAGUGGCGAUACGCUAGAAGACGGGUGUGCGUCUGAUUAGGUAGUUGGCGGGGUAACGGCCCACCAAGCCGACGAUCAGUAACUGGUGUGAGAGCACGACCAGUCACACGGGCACUGAGACACGGGCCCGACUCCUACGGGAGGCAGCAGUAAGGAAUAUUGGUCAAUGGACGAAAGUCUGAACCAGCCAUGCCGCGUGAAGGAUGAAGGUCCUCUGGAUUGUAAACUUCUUUUAUAUGGGACGAAAAAAGGGUUUUCUAACUCUACUGACGGUACCAUAUGAAUAAGC